GAAAUGCGAUAAGGAAUGUGAAUUGCAGAAUUCAGAUAAUCAUCGAAUCUUUGAACUCACAUUGCGACCGCCAGUACUCUGGCGGGCAUGCCUGUUCGAGCGUCAUUUCAACCAUCAAGCCCCGCGCUUGUGCUGGGGACCUGCGGCUGCCCGCAGGCUCCGAAAACCAGUGGCGGGCUCGCUCUCACUCCGAGCGUAGUAGUUUACAUCUCGCUCAGGGCGUGCUGCGGGAUCCGGCCGCAAAAACCCCCCCCUUACACCAAGGUUGACCGCGGAUCAGGUAGGAAUACCCGCUGAACUUAA
rnacentral:misc_RNA from 1 species